GGUUGAUCAUAGCUCAGAUUGAACGCUGGCGGGAUGCUUUACGCCGGGAGUCGAACGGCGGCACGGACUUCGGUCUGGUGGCGAGUGGCGAACGGGUGAGUAAUGUAUCGGAACGUGCCUAGUAGCGGGGGAUAACUACGCGAAAGCGUAGCUAAUACCGCAUACGCCCUUCGGGGGAAAGCGGGGACCUUCAGGCCUCGCACUAUUAGAGCGGCCGAUAUCGGAUUAGCUAGUUGGUGGGAGUAACGCUCACCAAAGGCAGCGGCGACGAUCCAUGUAGCUGGUUUGAGAAGGCGAGCCAGCCACACUGGGACUGUAGCCCAGACUCCUACGGGAGGCAGCAGUGGGAAUUUUGGACAAUGGGGGAAACUGAUCAGCGUAUCCGCGUGUGCGAGAGAGGCCUUCGGGUUGUAAAGCACUUUUGGCAGGGAAAACGGCACGGGAUAAUACCCCGUGCAACUGACGGCCUGCAGAAUAAGCACCGGCUAACUACGUGCCAGCAGCCGCGGUAAUACGUAGGGUGCAAGCGUUAAUCGGAAUUACUGGGCGUAAAGCGUGCGCGGGCGGUUCCGGAAAGAAAAGAAGAGAAAGAUGUGAAAUCCCCAGAGCUAACUUUGGAACUGCAUUUUUAACUACCGAGCUAGAAGGUGCUGACAGAGGGAGAGUGCAGAUUGCGCGUGUAGCAGUGAAAUGCGUAGAUAUGCGGAGGAACACCGAUGGCGAAGGCAGCCUCCUGGGAUAACACUGACGCUCAUGCACGAAAGCGUGGGGGAGCAAACAGGAUUAGAUACCCUGGUAGUCCACGCCCUAAACGAUGUCAACUAGCUGUUGGGGCCUUCGGGCCUUGGCGCUGUGCGCGUGAAGUUGACCGCCUGAAAUACGGUCGCAGAUUAAACUCAAAGGAAUUGACGGGGACCGCACAAGCAGUGGAUGAUGUGGAUUAAUUCGAUGCAACGCAAGAAAACCUUACCUACCCUUGACAUGUCUGGAGUCCGAAGAGAUUUGGAGUGCUCCGCCGAGAGCAGAUUACAGGUGCUGUAAACAUCGUCAGCUCGUGUACGUGAGAUGUUGGGUUAAGUCCCGCAACGAGCGCAACCCUUGUCAUUAGUUGCUACGAAAGGGCACUCUAAUGAGACUGCCGGUGACAAACCGGAGGAAGGUCAGCGUCAUGGCCCUUAUGGGUAGGGCUUCCCCUGCGUCAUGCUAAUGGUCGCGGGACUGAGGUCGCCAACCCGCGAGGAGGCAAUCAGAAACCCGAUCGUAGUCCGGAUCGCAGUCUGCAACUCGACUGCGUGAAGUCCCGGAAUCAUGGUAAUCGCGGAUCAGCAUCACGCCGGUGAAUACGUUCAGGUCUUAUACCUGCCACACCAUGGGAGUGGGUUUUGCCAAGUAGUUAGCCUAACCGUAAGGAGGGCGAUUACCUGACAGGAUUCCCUUGUUGGGGUGAAGUCGUAACAAGGUAACUGUUUUCUGUUCUCCCGGGAGCAUGCA
rnacentral:rRNA from 1 species